UACGAAGGGGGCUAGCGUUGCUCGGAAUCACUGGGCGUAAAGCGCACGUAGGCGGCUCUUUAAGUCAGGGGUGAAAUCCUGGAGCUCAACUCCAGAACUGCCCUUGAUACUGAGGAGCUUGAGUCCGGGAGAGGUGAGUGGGACUGCGAGUGUAGAGGUGAAAUUCGUAGAUAUUCGCAAGAACACCAGUGGCGAAGGCGGCUCACUGGCCCGGUACUGACGCUGAGGUGCGAAAGCGUGGGGAGCAAACAGG
rnacentral:rRNA from 1 species